rfam:Trypanosoma congolense IL3000, WGS project CAEQ01000000 data, contig: 777
GGCGCAGCUCAUCAAACUGUGCCGAUUACGUCCCUGCCAUUUGUACACACCGCCCGUCGUUGUUUCCGAUGAUGGUGCAAUACAGGUGAUCGGACCGUCGCGUGUCUCACGUGACCGAAAGUUCACCGAUAUUGCUUCAAUAGAGGAAGCAAAAGUCGUAACAAGGUAGCUGUAGGUGAACCUGCAGCUGGAUCAUUU